UACAGAGGUCUCAAGCGUUGUUCGGAUUCAUUGGGCGUAAAGGGUGCGUGGGUGGCGUCGUAAGUCAGGUGUGAAAUUUCGGAGCUUAACUUCGAAACUGCAUUUGAUACUGCGGUGCUUGAGGACUGGAGAGGAGACUGGAAUUUACGGUGUAGCGGUGAAAUGCGUAGAUAUCGUAAGGAAGACCAGUGGCGAAGGCGGGUCUCUGGACAGUUCCUGACGCUGAGGCACGAAGGUCAGGGAGCAAACGGG
rnacentral:rRNA from 1 species